AGUAAAAAAAAAAAAGUUGGGCCAAACAGACAUUCAGGUUCAGAUGCAAAAUUUGCAAUGUUAUAUUGGACUGAAUAUUCGCAAUAAAAUGUCAACAACAGCGUAUGCUAAGUGUUGUAGAGAUAGAACAUUAUGAUGAAUGAUUGGUCACACGAGGCAAUGUAGGAUUAGAAAUGAAAGCAUUAACGAGUAAGUUGGGGUAGCAUCCGUUGUGGAAAACAUGGUAAAGUCUUGUCUUAGGUUGUUUGAUCAUGUACCGAGAAGGCAUAUAGAAGCUUCAGUUAGGAGAGUAGACAAGAUAGAGGAUAGUUCGAUAAUUUGAGGUAGAGGGAGAUCACAUUAGCCAAACCAUUAAAAGAGGUUUGGAUUUAAAUGGUCUAUUUUUGGAUAUGAUUGUAAUAAGAUACUAGUGUCAUUUGAUCCACAUAGCUGACCUUAAUGAGAAGAAAGACUUCCUAUUGCUAUAGUCGUAAUGUGCGUUUGUUUUGCUGGACAUGUAAUUUUCUUGUUCUUGAUUCUGAUAAUAUCUUCCGUAACUAUGCCGCCGUCCUAAGGUUAUUUGGCUAUUUGAUGUUAAAGGUUGCUACAUCCUUUUUAGUCUGUUGAGCUAAAUUUUAUUAUGAGGAUCAAAGAUCUCUUUCUUGUCCAAUUUCAAGCCCAAAGGGAUUUCGUGUCCAGGGAUUUGCCGGAAAGAAAACCGUUUGAGGUGCUUUACACCAGUAUCGUAAACUUUUGUGCUAUUUGGCUCAUGACACAAUUUAUGUUAGCUACAUGGAUUACUGAUAACAUAGAAAUCAUCUUCGUUGAAUCUUGAUAUCAUCUUGCAUUUGGUUAUAUAUAUGGGUCUACUUGAUACUUCAUAUUUAAUGCUUAAAAUUUUACCCUUUUUUAUUUAUUGGCAAUAAUGAUUCGAUACAUUUUACAUAUUAACAGGGUUUGAUAUUAUAAAGACUGAGUAGAAGCGUAAAGUUGGAGUUCAAGGGACCGAGGGAACAAGGAGAGAAGUUGUUUAAGGUACCCUACAAAAUUUUCGUUCAUUCGGACUGAAGUCUGAAUUUUGAUGGUGGAUGCAGUUCUGUGCACUAGAAACAGUCAACUGUUGCUUCAUAAGAAACCACAAACAAACUCAGAAACCGUUCCAAUAAAUCAAUGAAUUCUGAAAAUGGCACCGAUCAACCGCAACCUACUUCCGGUGAAAAUCUCACAGAACUUGGUUGGUAUGUUCUCGGAGAAGACUCAUUCCAUCCGGCGGAACAGCUAUAGGAGAAUAAGCUUCAGGGUUGCGAGCUCCAAACUUGGCCAAGAAAUCUGCACAAGUGUUCCCCUCCCGAAGAGUAUGCAACAACCUAACCCUUCAGUUUCUAGUGAGAAGAUCUUUUAUGUUAUAGAUAAUCGCUGCAUAGUGGUGCCACUCAUUUACAUGAUUAGAUAACAGCUUAAUCACGAUUUUGGAGUCAGAAUAGCACCACAAAUCCUUAAUGUCCAGCUCCCACGCCAAAACUAAACCAUGGUACACUGCCAAUAAUUCCGCAUGAAG